GUAUAAGUUUUUAUAGGCACAAAGGCCCAAUAUGUUACCAUUCUGUUACAUUCAAUGGGGUAUAUGAAAAACGUAGACUUGGAAAUGCAAGAAAAGCCAGCUAAUGCCAGCAAGUCCUCCCGACCGAGUUGCCUCGGAAAGUCAAUCCAAGUCUACAAGAGGUGCACAGGUGGAGAGAUGAGGAUGAUGGGUGUGCACAUGCCCCCGAAAGGGCCAGCAACAACCACACCAAGUUCAUUCAAUAAUGAUCCUUCCGCAGGUUCACCUACGGAAA
rnacentral:misc_RNA from 1 species